UACAGAGACCUCAAGCGUUAUCCGGAAUCAUUGGGCGUAAAGCGUACCGAUAGGUGGUUUUGUUAGCCAGUGGUGAAAUCUCCGAGCUUAACUCGGAAUCUGUCCAUUGGAACUGCAAAACUAGAGGGGCAAAGAGGAAGCUGGAACGAACGGUGUAGUAGUGAAAUGCGUUGAUAUCGUUCGGAACACCAAUAGCGAAGGCAGGCUUCUGGGUGCCACCUGACACUGCUAGGACGAAAGCGUGGGGAGCGAAUGGG
rnacentral:rRNA from 1 species